rnacentral:rRNA from 1 species
UAAUGCGGGGAGGGAGACUUCACCGAUGCAAGGCAUGGACGGUAAAAAACAAAUGUUUAACGGAGAGGGGAACGCGAGAAUGAGCCUUCCGUAGGUGAACCUGCGGAGGGAUCAUUA